CAGUCGCCGCGGGAAUACGUAGGGUGCGAGCGUUAAUCGGAAUUACUGGGCGUAAAGCGUGCGCAGGCGGUUAUAUAAGACAGAUGUGAAAUCCCCGGGCUCAACCUGGGACCUGCAUUUGUGACUGCAUAGCUAGGGUACGGUAGAGGGGGAUGGAAUUCCCCGUGUAGCAGUGAAAUGCGUAGAUAUGCGGAGGAACACCGAUGGCGAAGGCAAUCCUCUGGACCUGUACUGACGCUCAUGCACGAAAGCGUGGGGAGCAAACAGGAUUAGAUACCCCCGUAGUCCCUGUCUUUAUACA
rnacentral:rRNA from 1 species